rnacentral:rRNA from 1 species
GAUGAACGCUGGCGGCGUGCCUAACACAUGCAAGUCGAACGGAGUUCUUGAGGGAUGCGACUUCGGUCAAAUGACUUUUGAACUUAGUGGCGGACGGGUGAGUAACGCGUGAGCAACCUGCCUUUCAGAGGGGGAUAACAUUUGGAACAGAUGCUAAUACCGCAUAAGAUUACAGUACCGCAUGAUACAGUGAUCAAAGGAGCAAUCGCUGAAAGAUGGGCUCGCGUCCGAUUAGAUAGUUGGUGAGGUAACGGCUCACCAAGUCGACGAUCGGUAGCCGGACUGAGAGGUUGAACGGCCACAUUGGGGACUGAGACACGGCCCAGACUCCUACGGGAGGCAGCAGUGGGGAAGUAUUGCACAAUGGGCGAAAGCCUGAUGCAGCAACGCCGCGUGAGGGAAGACGGUUUUCGGA